CCCAAUCACAUUCCUUUUCCCUUGGUUUAAAAACCCUGUCAGUUGUUUUCUCAAUAGUUCAAUCUCUCUGUCAUGCAAUCUCACUCUAGAGUGCUUGUUUUGUGUUUACAACUACAUAUCACUUUGUCACCACCUAGAAUACUUCAAAAUGAGAAGAUCCUGCCAUGGUAAAGACUACUGGGUGGACAAAGUGUAAAGGAGGAGAAAUAACUCCCACCAUGCAGCAGGACACCUUCAGCUGGGGUCUUUAUAAUGCAGGUGUAGAUGGCCAAGGAAGUUGCACGGAACUUUCCUCCCAAAUUGAUAUGGAACCUUCAAAAACACAUUGAGCAACUGCAGAAAAUAAAUGGCUGAGGAUAUACUAAACAUGUCUGAGUUCCACAAAGCCAAGAACUGCUUCAUGUGUGCCACUGAUAAAGAACCUGGAUGUGGCCCAAAGACUGACUGGGAAUGAAGACAAAAGAGUUCAACAGAGUAAAGAACACAAACAGGAAGUGCAGUCUUUGUUGUUGAAAAUGUAUGCAUUACCCCAUCCACACUGAAGAGGCUCUGACAUGUACAUCAACCAGGGAUAAAGAGAAAGUUAACAUGGUGAAUUGUUUCAUACUGAACUUCAAUUAAGUGUCUGACAUGUUGGAAAAGAUUAA